rnacentral:rRNA from 1 species
GGAUGAACGCUGGCGGCGUGCCUAAUACAUGCAAGUCGAGCGAACAGAUAAGGAGCUUGCUCCUUUGACGUUAGCGGCGGACGGGUGAGUAACACGUGGGUAACCUACCUAUAAGACUGGGAUAACUUCGGGAAACCGGAGCUAAUACCGGAUAAUAUUUCGAACCGCAUGGUUCGAUAGUGAAAGAUGGUUUUGCUAUCACUUAUAGAUGGACCCGCGCCGUAUUAGCUAGUUGGUAAGGUAACGGCUUACCAAGGCGACGAUACGUAGCCGACCUGAGAGGGUGAUCGGCCACACUGGAACUGAGACACGGUCCAGACUCCUACGGGAGGCAGCAGUAGGGAAUCUUCCGCAAUGGGCGAAAGCCUGACGGAGCAACGCCGCGUGAGUGAUGAAGGUCUUCGGAUCGUAAAACUCUGUUAUUAGGGAAGAACAUACGUGUAAGUAACUAUGCACGUCUUGACGGUACCUAAUCAGAAAGCCACGGCUAACUACGUGCCAGCAGCCGCGGUAAUACGUAGGUGGCAAGCGUUAUCCGGAAUUAUUGGGCGUAAAGCGCGCGUAGGCGGUUUUUUAAGUCUGAUGUGAAAGCCCACGGCUCAACCGUGGAGGGUCAUUGGAAACUGGAAAACUUGAGUGCAGAAGAGGAAGUGGAAUUUCCAUGUGUAGCGGUGAAAUGCGCAGAGAUAUGGAGGAACACCAGUGGCGAAGGCGACUUUCUGGUCUGUAACUGACGCUGAUGUGCGAAAGCGUGGGGAUCAAACAGGAUUAGAUACCCUGGUAGUCCACGCCGUAAACGAUGAGUGCUAAGUGUUAGGGGGUUUCCGCCCCUUAGUGCUGCAGCUAACGCAUUAAGCACUCCGCCUGGGGAGUACGACCGCAAGGUUGAAACUCAAAGGAAUUGACGGGGACCCGCACAAGCGGUGGAGCAUGUGGUUUAAUUCGAAGCAACGCGAAGAACCUUACCAAAUCUUGACAUCCUUUGACAACUCUAGAGAUAGAGCCUUCCCCUUCGGGGGACAAAGUGACAGGUGGUGCAUGGUUGUCGUCAGCUCGUGUCGUGAGAUGUUGGGUUAAGUCCCGCAACGAGCGCAACCCUUAAGCUUAGUUGCCAUCAUUAAGUUGGGCACUCUAAGUUGACUGCCGGUGACAAACCGGAGGAAGGUGGGGAUGACGUCAAAUCAUCAUGCCCCUUAUGAUUUGGGCUACACACGUGCUACAAUGGACAAUACAAAGGGCAGCGAAACCGCGAGGUCAAGCAAAUCCCAUAAAGUUGUUCUCAGUUCGGAUUGUAGUCUGCAACUCGACUACAUGAAGCUGGAAUCGCUAGUAAUCGUAGAUCAGCAUGCUACGGUGAAUACGUUCCCGGGUCUUG